rnacentral:rRNA from 1 species
UACGUAGGGUGCAAGCGUUAUCCGGAAUUAUUGGGCGUAAAGAGCUCGUAGGCGGUUUGUCGCGUCUGCUGUGAAAACUGGAGGCUCAACCUCCAGCCUGCAGUGGGUACGGGCAAACUAGAGUGCGGUAGGGGAGAUUGGAAUUCCUGGUGUAGCGGUGGAAUGCGCAGAUAUCAGGAGGAACACCAGCGGCGAAGGCGGCGCUCUGGGCCGGUACUGACACUGAGGAGCGAAAGCGUGGGUAGCAAACAGG